CAGCUGCCUCGCCGCGGCAGCGCCUGACCGCGCCUCCCUUUACCUCUAGCUGCCCCGCGGCAAGUGCAGAAGCUGCAGAGGCCACAGCAGCCUAGCGCGCCCCCUCCGUAUGGCCGCAUGCCACCCGUGCCGCGCCCAGGAACCAGAGGCACCCCAGGAGGGAGGCGGAAGGUAACGCAACACCUGGAUACCGAAUAUCCUCAUAGCGACCAUUCCGGAUCAUCAGCCACUAACAGAGCAGGGAAGUCUGGAAUUCACAUUAAUGUAAACCAUAAACGCAGAAUCAGUGAUUAAGGACACUUCGGAGACGUUCUUUUGGGCAUAAAAUCUGGCAGGACUGCUGGCCCGGACACCAUCAUCUAAAGUUCUCACACACAAAUGACCAUUACCUUUGAUGCAUAAAACAAGUAAUAUGUAUUUUUUCUGAGUACGAAAUCAUUGUGUUCACUUUGGAAAAUAUAGAAAAGAAAAAUACAAUGUACUUCAACAGCA